UGGGGAAUAUUGCACAAUGGGCGCAAGCCUGAUGCAGCCAUGCCGCGUGUGUGAAGAAGGCCUUCGGGUUGUAAAGCACUUUCAGCGGGGAGGAAGGCGUUAAGGUUAAUAACCUUGGCGAUUGACGUUACCCGCAGAAGAAGCACCGGCUAACUCCGUGCCAGCAGCCGCGGUAAUACGGAGGGUGCAAGCGUUAAUCGGAAUUACUGGGCGUAAAGCGCACGCAGGCGGUCUGUCAAGUCGGAUGUUAAAUCCCCGGGCUCAACCUGGGAACUGCAUUCGAAACUGGCAGGCUAGAGUCUUGUAGAGGGGGGUAGAAUUCCAGGUGUAGCGGUGAAAUGCGUAGAGAUCUGGAGGAAUACCGGUGGCGAAGGCGGCCCCCUGGACAAAGACUGACGCUCAGGUGCGAAAGCGUGGGGAGCAAACAGG
rnacentral:rRNA from 1 species